rnacentral:rRNA from 1 species
GGGACACGUGGUAUCCUGUCUGAAUAUGGGGGGACCAUCCUCCAAGGCUAAAUACUCCUGACUGACCGAUAGUGAACCAGUACCGUGAGGGAAAGGCGAAAAGAACCCCGGCGAGGGGAGUGAAAAAGAACCUGAAACCGUGUACGUACAAGCAGUGGGAGCACGCUUAGGCGUGUGACUGCGUACCUUUUGUAUAAUGGGUCAGCGACUUAUAUUCUGUAGCAAGGUUAACCGAAUAGGGGAGCCGAAGGGAAACCGAGUCUUAACUGGGCGUUAAGUUGCAGGGUAUAGACCCGAAACCCGGUGAUCUAGCCAUGGGCAGGUUGAAGGUUGGGUAACACUAACUGGAGGACCGAACCGACUAAUGUUGAAAAAUUAGCGGAUGACUUGUGGCUGGGGGUGAAAGGCCAAUCAAACCGGGAGAUAGCUGGUUCUCCCCGAAAGCUAUUUAGGUAGCGCCUCGUGAAUUCAUCUCCGGGGGUAGAGCACUGUUUCGGCAAGGGGGUCAUCCCGACUUACCAACCCGAUGCAAACUGCGAAUACCGGAGAAUGUUAUCACGGGAGACACACGGCGGGUGCUAACGUCCGUCGUGAAGAGGGAAACAACCCAGACCGCCAGCUAAGGUCCCAAAGUCAUGGUUAAGUGGGAAACGAUGUGGGAAGGCCCAGACAGCCAGGAUGUUGGCUUAGAAGCAGCCAUCAUUUAAAGAAAGCGUAAUAGCUCACUGGUCGAGUCGGCCUGCGCGGAAGAUGUAACGGGGCUAAACCAUGCACCGAAGCUGCGGCAGCGACGCUUAUGCGUUGUUGGGUAGGGGAGCGUUCUGUAAGCCUGCGAAGGUGUGCUGUGAGGCAUGCUGGAGGUAUCAGAAGUGCGAAUGCUGACAUAAGUAACGAUAAAGCGGGUGAAAAGCCCGCUCGCCGGAAGACCAAGGGUUCCUGUCCAACGUUAAUCGGGGCAGGGUGAGUCGACCCCUAAGGCGAGGCCGAAAGGCGUAGUCGAUGGGAAACAGGUUAAUAUUCCUGUACUUGGUGUUACUGCGAAGGGGGGACGGAGAAGGCUAUGUUGGCCGGGCGACGGUUGUCCCGGUUUAAGCGUGUAGGCUGGUUUUCCAGGCAAAUCCGGAAAAUCAAGGCUGAGGCGUGAUGACGAGGCACUACGGUGCUGAAGCAACAAAUGCCCUGCUUCCAGGAAAAGCCUCUAAGCAUCAGGUAACAUCAAAUCGUACCCCAAACCGACACAGGUGGUCAGGUAGAGAAUACCAAGGCGCUUGAGAGAACUCGGGUGAAGGAACUAGGCAAAAUGGUGCCGUAACUUCGGGAGAAGGCACGCUGAUAUGUAGGUGAAGUGAUUUACUCAUGGAGCUGAAAUCAGUCGAAGAUACCAGCUGGCUGCAACUGUUUAUUAAAAACACAGCACUGUGCAAACACGAAAGUGGACGUAUACGGUGUGACGCCUGCCCGGUGCCGGAAGGUUAAUUGAUGGGGUUAGCGCAAGCGAAGCUCUUGAUCGAAGCCCCGGUAAACGGCGGCCGUAACUAUAACGGUCCUAAGGUAGCGAAAUUCCUUGUCGGGUAAGUUCCGACCUGCACGAAUGGCGUAAUGAUGGCCAGGCUGUCUCCACCCGAGACUCAGUGAAAUUGAACUCGCUGUGAAGAUGCAGUGUACCCGCGGCAAGACGGAAAGACCCCGUGAACCUUUACUAUAGCUUGACACUGAACAUUGAGCCUUGAUGUGUAGGAUAGGUGGGAGGCUUUGAAGUGUGGACGCCAGUCUGCAUGGAGCCGACCUUGAAAUACCACCCUUUAAUGUUUGAUGUUCUAACGUGGACCCGUAAUCCGGGUUGCGGACAGUGUCUGGUGGGUAGUUUGACUGGGGCGGUCUCCUCCUAAAGAGUAACGGAGGAGCACGAAGGUUGGCUAAUCCUGGUCGGACAUCAGGAGGUUAGUGCAAUGGCAUAAGCCAGCUUGACUGCGAGCGUGACGGCGCGAGCAGGUGCGAAAGCAGGUCAUAGUGAUCCGGUGGUUCUGAAUGGAAGGGCCAUCGCUCAACGGAUAAAAGGUACUCCGGGGAUAACAGGCUGAUACCGCCCAAGAGUUCAUAUCGACGGCGGUGUUUGGCACCUCGAUGUCGGCUCAUCACAUCCUGGGGCUGAAGUAGGUCCCAAGGGUAUGGCUGUUCGCCAUUUAAAGUGGUACGCGAGCUGGGUUUAGAACGUCGUGAGACAGUUCGGUCCCUAUCUGCCGUGGGCGCUGGAGAACUGAGGGGGGCUGCUCCUAGUACGAGAGGACCGGAGUGGACGCAUCACUGGUGUUCGGGUUGUCAUGCCAAUGGCACUGCCCGGUAGCUAAAUGCGGAAGAGAUAAGUGCUGAAAGCAUCUAAGCACGAAACUUGCCCCGAGAUGAGUUCUCCCUGACUCCUUGAGAGUCCUGAAGGAACGUUGAAGACGACGACGUUGAUAGGCCGGGUGUGUAAGCGCAGCGAUGCGUUGAGCUAACCGGUACUAAUGAACCGUGAGGCUUAACCUUACAACGCCGAAG